rnacentral:sRNA from 1 species
AUAUCUCUCUGUACGGGAAGGAUGAGAAGCUUCGACUAAGGUUCGAUCGAGCGUCAGCGAGAAAGCGUUGCCGCAGGCAACGACCCGAAGGGCGAAGCGCGCAGCGCUGAGUCAUCCUUCCCCCACCACCA